GGAGAAUCAAACAUCAGUUUAGGGUUUUGCUCUAUAAAGUGCGCGUUGCUCCUCUCUUCAGUCAUAUCUUCGAUCAAACAUCAAUUUUGCGUCCGCAAUCUCCACCGCGUCAUCGAUCUUCAUCAGAUGCCUGAGAUAGAUGUUGGUUUAUCCUCGUUGAAUAUUCACGACGAAAAAGAUAGUACUUUAACUCAAAGACCAAUUGGAGUGAAAAAGGCAAAAUCAAGGCGUCGAUCUAGUAAUAAGUUAGAGACUUUAAUCAAGGCUAAUAAAAAAUUGAACAAAUGUAUAGUCAAGUACAAUGAAGUUAUGAUGAGAAGGAAAGAAAUUCAAGCUCAAAAAAAUGCAUUAGAUAUAAGAUUGGCGGAAGAUAAAAUUAUGUGCACUGAUCUAAAUUCUAUUAUUGAUCCUGUGUAUUAUGAGUUCAUAAAAAACGAAAAAAUUCGAAUAGCGAGGAAGAGAAUAGAACCUCAUGUUCAUACGUAUGGACAAGGAUUAGAAUAUGAAGGAUUUCAA